UUUUCUGCUCCCUUUUAUAGACUACCCAGCUCCUCUCCUUUAACCAGUCCUGUCUUCGCAGGACUCUUAUCUUCCCCGACGAGAUCGUGUGCGAUAGACGUGGUCCACGAUGGGAUCAACUUCGUUGCAGAUCUUCAGCCUGUUGAAUCGGGAUGCAGAAGACGAACACGACUGUUCCACCAUCAACGACGACGUUUCGGUAGCAAUGGAUUUCACCAGUAACGGCGACGUUUCAAGCAGCCAUGGACAUUUUCAAUUUGACCCCUGGACUUUGGAAAUUCGGCAAUUAGACCCCUAAGCAAUUAAAAGUUUCUUUUAAUUUUUCCCUUUUUUGAUUAAUUUCAAUUAAAUCCCUAAAUUAUAACACUAUUUACAAAAUAGUCUUUAAUUUGUGGAUUGUCCCAUUUGGCCCCUUAAUUAAUUAAAUUUUUUACUUUUAAUUCUUUCAAAAUUGAUCAAUUAACUCUCAAGUUACAUCCCCAAACUUCAAAAUUUAUUGUCUUAAC
rnacentral:lncRNA from 1 species